CAGAAGCAAUGACCAGGAAGGAAAACAUCAAAAACCCAGUUGGGAAGAUCUAUUAACACAGCAAAAUACCAAUCUCUAUUCAUAACUAUCGCCAGCUUCCUAAACAGUUAGGAAGUCCAGUGUAUUUUCUGUUGCAGUAAAAAGGUAAAGUGUUCCAGAGAAUCGAAUUAGCAUGUGUAAAAUUAUUUACUGGAUUACACAGAUGUCAAGUGAUAGAACGAACUCCAGGUCAAAUUCUACAGCAGCACUGUCCAACUGCAACACAAUAAAGACAAGCAAUUUUAGAUCUAUUAGCCACAUUAAAAAAGAAGCAGA